GACGAACGCUGGCGGCGUGCUUAACACAUGCAAGUCGAACGGAAAGGCCCUGCUUUUGUGGGGUGCUCGAGUGGCGAACGGGUGAGUAACACGUGCGUAACCUGCCCUUGACUUUGGGAUAACUUCAGGAAACUGGGGCUAAUACCGGAUAGGAGCUCCUGCUGCAUGGUGGGGGUUGGAAAGUUUCGGCGGUUGGGGAUGGACUCGCGGCUUAUCAGCUUGUUGGUGGGGUAGUGGCUUACCAAGGCUUUGACGGGUAGCCGGCCUGAGAGGGUGACCGGCCACAGUGGGACUGAGAUACGGCCCAGACUCCUACGGGAGGCAGCAGUGGGGAAGAUUGCACAAUGGGCGGAAGCCUGAUGCAGCAACGCCGCGUGCGGGAUGACGGCCUUCGGGUUGUAAACCGCUUUCGCCUGUGACGAAGCGUGAGUGACGGUAAUGGGUAAAGAAGCACCGGCUAACUACGUG
rnacentral:rRNA from 1 species